AUUGUACUCCCUCCGUCUCAAAAUUAUUGUCUUAGAUUUGUCUAAAUACGGAUAUAUCUAGUUAUAUUUUAGUGUUAGAUACAUCCGUAUCUAGACAAAUCUAAGAUAAGAAUUUUCGGACGGAGGGAGUAUUAA
rfam:Triticum urartu cultivar G1812 contig1122773, whole genome shotgun sequence.